rnacentral:rRNA from 1 species
UACAGAGGGGGCAAGCGUUGUUCGGAAUUACUGGGCGUAAAGGGCGCGUAGGCGGCCUGUUAAGUCGAACGUGAAAUCCCCGGGCUCAACCCGGGAACUGCGUCCGAUACUGGCAGGCUUGAAUCCGGGAGAGGGAUGCGGAAUUCCAGGUGUAGCGGUGAAAUGCGUAGAUAUCAGGAGGAACACCGAUGGCGAAGGCAGGUCUCUGGGCAUUAACUGACGCUGAGGAGCGAAAGCAUGGGGAGCGAACAGG